ACUAUUCCUUCUAUCAUCACGGCCCUUAAGAAUAAGGAGCAGGAUUCCAGGUAAAACUUGGUUUGGAGUGAGCAGGUCAGUGGAUGGAAUAGAUAUGGAAUGGAAUAGAUAAAACUGAACACGGUCACUUCCUGUGCAGUGUGGUGCUGCCAGGGCAGCCACAACUCUGGCUGGCCCCCUCUGGCUGUUGCCUCUGAUUCAUUUCUAGAAUGUAAAUAAUUCACCUGCACAUACAGAAUCUCUGCAACUAAGCAAAACAAGAGAAACCAGCCCAGAAGGAAACAGGUGCUUCCACCAUUACUGAUUUACAAUCUGUGCUGCAGGGAACAGAAGCCAACUCUCCUUUCACCUAAAGAACUAAUUUGAAAAACCAAUCUUUCAAGUUUAUCAGGCACUGUCUGUAGAAGCCUCUCAUCCUUUGCAGACAUUGUAGAGGUAAACAGAAACUUGGGAGUAAAUUUUAUAAAAUUUGGACAGGUAAACCUUGUGCCACAUCCUGAGGCUGGCUCUAAUUCUUGUUCCUGCUGAACUUCCUGCAAAAUCAAGGAUCUUCUUUUCAGAGGUUAUAAAAAUUCAGGGUUAGUAUUUAAAUACCCCUUCCUCAAAAACAAAACAAAGCAAACAAAAAAAAACCCAACCCAGACAACUUCAUAAAAAACCAGAAAACUUUGUAUAGCAGGGCUGCCAGGAACAGAAAGGAGCCUCUACAAACCUUUCAUACCGGUACUCUUCAGCAGGGCCAGAUUUGCUAAGCAGCAGCAGCAGUUCUUGAGAAGCAAAUUAUUCCUACUUGGAUGGAAAAGAACUGGCAGUGAAAGUUAAAACCAGGUGCCUAUCUUGAGCAACAUGAAAGCUAAAUGAGGGAGAGAAGCAUUUGACUUUUAAAUGGAAAUGGAAGAAUGAGGCUAUGCAGGAAGCAGGCGAUAGCCUGGAACUGGAUGGAAAAUUGGUCUCACGAGCACAAGAAAAUUCUUUUCCCUGUAAUUUUUGAGGUAUGAAAUAACUGCCUUAAAAGCUUUCCUAGAGAAACUGCAACGAGAAGAGGAAUUUAGAACAUAUAAUUUGGUACUAUCCCAAAAUGCAGAAACAUUGGCAGAAAAUGGCAAAUGUUACUAAAUUUACUAUUGGAAUUAAAAAUAAUAAAUCUUUCCUACAGGAAAUAAUCUUAAGAAUAGAUAAUGUAGAAAUAGCAACCAUUAAAACACACACACACACACACACACCCAAAAAAAGUGUAAAAAUGUUUUUCCUAGCAGAGAAAUCUGCUUCAGCUAAGAACAUGGAAACUGUGCCUACUUCGUGUUUCUGUUCUGAGCAGUGAAUGAACAGUGGGCAGCUUUUUGUAAGAACGGAGUCCUGGGUUCCAUCUUAGCCAAACAAACUGAGGAUCUGAUCCAUAAAGCUGGGGUCACCUUCUGCAAAUCCAACAGUAGCUCCAGGCCUUGCAAAAGAAACUGGAGCCUGGUGACACGGACAGCAGAAAUUUGAACGGACUGAUGGAUGCGCUGACUUGCAGCUCUCGUGGUUUCCAAAGUGCCUUUACUUCAAUGCUGACAACAGUUGGCUGCACAAUUCUGCUCCUUUCCAAAGGGAGCUCUGAUGGCUUUCUGUGGCCAGAGGGGAAACUGAACUAGAAAGGAGAAUGAUCUGCAGUAGGAGGAACUCACUUGGGUGGAAACCAGCAAGACUGCAGAUAGCCAAGCUGACCAGGGGCUGGCAGGACGAGCAGUAGGUAUCAAGGCUGGCUUUACAACUGGAUCUGCUUUGGCUGGGACCAGGGAUGAACAGACAAUAGAAGCACAGAAAUGCCACAGUUGGUAGAGACUUCUGGAGAUCUCCAGUCCAACCUCAGACUCACCGUGGGCUGCAGCCCACACUGGGACUGGCCAGCCAGACUUUUGUCCAGGAAAAGCCUCCAUCCUCCCCCAGCACAAAGGCCUGAGGCUGAGUGGAACAGAAGAUGGCUGUCACCAACCAGAUGUGCUGGUCCCCAAGUCCUUGAGAGCCUGGCUGUGGGGGUUCUGUGGUUGUUCUUGGCAUCAUGGCCCCGCACAGAGACCUCACGUCACCACUGAGCGUUGUACCACAGCUGCAGGAAUGCAUGGUCAGACAGUGCCCAGCCAAAAGAUCCUGAAAGGAGUUAUGGCUAAAGGGCUGCAUGAAGGAUUCUGCAGCUGUUGAGGUGUUGGGGCACGGACCACCCUGGCUGUUCCCCCGCCUUUGCCCACCACUGAGCAGAGCUGUGCACAGCCAGAACACAACUCUCACCUUAAAACAGCCCAUUUCAGAAAAUGUGCGCCCACACAGCCAUGGGUGAAUGAGGUGACUGCCACAGAUCAGGCACCUUUUCACAGGAAGAAGUGCUAGCUAAAUGGCAGAGCACUGAUAGGAAUGAUGAUGAUGUGCUGCAAAUCUGGUGGGACACCCAUGGCAUGUCACCAAGAGGAGUAAUAGUGCCUUUUCUGUAUCCAUCAUCCACAUCCAGUGUGUGCCUUGUCCCUGCUGUGCAGAGGGACUGUAACACUGACACAUGUCAGUGCUCUGCCCCCCAAAAUGCUUAAUCCUGGAAUAAUUAUCUAAAUAAAAUAUCUCCCAGAAAAAAAGUUGUCUUUCUGUUCCCAGGGAUUGGCUGGGGACAGGCUGUUUUCCUCAGGGAACUCUAUUUGUGGUGCUGGAGACCCAAUCCCUGGGCAGAAGGACGUGAAUUCAAAUCCAUAGUGGGUUUUCUUUCCCCAAAGAAAAUACUUCACAUAGGAAAAUAUUGGUUUGACAAAAUGGAAAUAUUUUGGGAGAACUUACCCGUGCAUUUACAAUCAUAUAUCUAAAACAUGAUAAAAAUAUUUUGUUUCCAAAGAAAUCAAACCAAAAAAAUGUAGUUAAAAGGCAAAGGGCUUAUAUUUUAUAUUUAACACACUAUAUUCAGAAUUGCAAACAUUAAAAUGAACUGCUGUGACUAUGUAAUUUUGAAGUUUCCAGAACAGAUUUUGGAAAUACAAUUUCUUGGAAAUUUCCAACUGUGCAUUCCAAUUUAGGCCUGAAGGAUUGUUUUAACAUUCAAUUUCCCACAUAGCAGGACCUGCCAACUUAAACUAGUUCUUAAAAUAACAAAGGAGGUCAAACAAAUCCAACUAAUAUCCGAAAUUAAAAUGAACUUAACUGACAGCCUCAUCCUGCAUGUAGCUCUGAUGUUAUCAAUCUUCUUGCCCCCUUCUGAAGUUUAAUCCAUAUUCCAGCCAGGGCUAGGAAUGGGAAUCACAGCAGGAAGGUUUCUGAGGACAUGAUGGUUGGAACCAGUACCUGAAGUGCCAUCGGUGGAGGGUGUCACACACUGGGGACAGACCAGGAGCACAGAGAGCAGCACCUUCAGCCUGGGUUGGGGCUGGCCAAGCUGCUGGAAUGCUCCACACAGCCCAUUCCCGUGGCCAAGCUGAUCGCUGGGAAGCGUCGCUCUGUGAAGUGCCAGAGCAGGACAAGUAAAGGUUAUUUACCCCAGCUUGUAGGUGAGGCACUGACACUGCUGUGCACUGUUUCCCUUAGUAUUCCCUUAUGUUGCAAUGCUGUGCUUUGCUGAUUUGGAAGUAUUCUUUUCUACCGUGGUUAAGUCAGGGGAACAGUGGUGGCUGGAACUGGUGUCCCAAGCGUCUGCAUGUUUGCAGCGGUGCAGGAAUGCAUUGUUAGUGCUGUUUUCAAAAUGAACCAUAGCCCAGAUGUGCUUGGCAGCUUUCCCAGUGGAAGGUAAAGAGUAGUGCAGAUGACAAGAUGUAUUGAUGUGAAAGCAUUUCUGGCCCUUUAACCCAAGAGCCACAGCAGACAAACAGGAGCGAGUGUGGUGCAGAGGCAGGAAUUCUUACACCUGCUGUGGCAGAAGCAGAGCAAUGAGCAGUCACCACUCCUAAAGCCAAGUGGUACCCAAGCGUUUGUGCCCAUCCUAGUGGCACUAGUGGACUAAUGUCCCAUCCCCUAGGGAUGUUUUUCUGUCCCCACUAGUUGGGACAGCCUGACAUAGGGCCAGUGAGUUGCAAAGCAGAGCAGAUUGUCAUGGCCUAGGAGAUUUGUCAUCUUGUUGCUACAGAAGGGCACAUUUUGGGGACAUGGAGUCACCCAGGGUGAUAGCCAAGCCUGUGUCUUUACUGUCACAGCUAACCAUGGCACAUGAGGUACCUCACAGGUACCAGGCUAAGAGUGGCAUGUGAUGCCCACAGGAAAAAAUAUUCUGGGGUGCCUCCAUAUUUCAUGUCCCCAUAAACUGGUGCUGUUUGAUGGAGGGGCCUCCUGGUGUUCUUUGACUCAAAGAACUCAAAUUCCACAUAGUAAUCAAGACCAAUCCCUGCCUUAUGUAGUUCCCUAGCCAAAGCAAAUUCCAUAUUCCUAGCAGCCUUGCACUUGGCCUUGGUAGUUAAUGCAGCCACAACCUUGAAGCCUAUAACUCAAAGUCACAGCAAAAUGAAGAACCUCAAGCAGGUUGGAGGCAACUGGGGGCAGCCUGCUGAGCAACCGUGACAGCAGCGCCUCUCUCUGCAGUGCUUUACUCUUGUGUUUGGUUUCUGUUACAUUCAGCCCACUUCAAGAUCUCCUUCACAGGGUGAGAAACCUGGUGGCAAGCUGCAAAAAUUCUAAUUGCUCAGUGUGGCGAUAGCUGGGAGGGUUUUAUAACAGCUGGCUCAAGAAUCAGCUGGUUUAGUACAUGGUUUUGCCAAAGCAGAGUAAAUUGCUUCCAGCACAUUCCUGUUUUGGUACCUGUAAGACACCUUGAGGUGACCUUAUGCUGCCUGCUCUGAGUUCAGCACAGGAGACUGGACCUGCAGGACCCCUUCCAGCCUUGGGACUCCAGGGUUCUGGGCCAAGGAUGGCAAGGAGCUUCUGGAGGCUCCCCUGGCCAGAAUGUGGAAGCUUCAGCAGCAGAAAAAAAAAAAAAAGAGAACCAAUUAAUGAGAU